AAAGCUCUGCGUGGGACAGCUUGAGGAAAUAAUUCGGGGGGGAUCCCAGGAGAGCAGCAGCAGUCCCAGAGAAGGGGGUUGGAACCACGCCUGUUGUGUGCAACGUGUCCAGGCUCUUCACCAUCUCAUCUGUGACCUGACGUUGGAGGUGAGGUUAAUCAGGUCCCAUUCCUUCCAGUAACUGCCAUCGUGCUCACAAAACGCGGUGGGGCCAGCAGCAUUGAAUGAGCAGCAGAGCUGGUGAUGUUUUGGUAGGCUGUGAUGUUGGCGUCCACGCCGGUUUUGUAACCAUUAAAUUGAGCGGCCCCAUGGGGUGAGCAGGAUUAUUUGCUCACACCGCUGCGAGCAGCUGCCCGGCUGGGUCUGCCCACAGCCUCAGGAAGGUGCCUGCAUUAUCCCAAACCCCACCCCUGUAGCCAGAGCGGUGCUGGGCAUCCGUGUAGGCAGCGAGGUAGCUGGCACGGUGCCUGGGCGCCUUGCCUGUUCACCCUCUUCUGUCUUUCCUACUGCCCUCGUGCUCUUUGGGAUCUUGGUUGUAACAUAGGCACCACUCGCUGUAUGGGGUCCUCUGCCUUCCGCCUGGCUUCUGCCUGCUUUCUGGCCCUGCUCUGCCAGCCCGUGCUGUUUCCAGACAGCCUGGAAAACCACUGCAGCAGAAGUUUAUACAGGCAGCGUUGCACAGGUCUGACGCUCCUCCUGGGACCUGAGCAUCAAGCCUUACAGCUCAUGCUAAAAUCCUGCCUUGCCUGGGGCUCCGCAGGGGAGAAAAGCCCAAGCUUUGAUCACAGGAGCUGCAUCGACAAGCUGCUGGCAGGGCUUAAAGCUCUCCAGACCCACCUCCCCUGGGCUGGUGCUUUCCCUCUGAGUGCGCCCCCAGCCAGCACACAGCAGUGGGACCGGCUGGUUCCCCUGGGUUUGCUGGCCCAUCACAGGGGUGCUGCCCAUCUUCAAAGGGCGAGGAGCACCCCACCCACCCCGCAGCACUUGGCACCAGGGGGACCAGCCAGGCUGGGACGUGCCAUUCAGCCCUCAGGAAGCCAGCCCUGUUCAGCACCAGGUGCUACCACGGGACAUUUUAAAGGGCUGCAAGAGGUGAGAGCAUGUGCAGAGCCAAGCCCUCAAAGGACCCGAAGCCUGGAGAAGGGCCGGGGGGGGGGGGGGGGCUGUAGGGACCCCUGA
rnacentral:lncRNA from 1 species